GGGCAGGUACCCAAGUGGCCAAAGGGGGCUGACUGUAAAUCAGCUGGCGUAUGCCUACGGGGGUUCGAAUCCCUCCCUGCCCACCU
rnacentral:tRNA from 2 species